UGCGCAGGCGGCCAGGUGUGUGAGGCGUGAAAGCCCGGGGCUUAACCCCGGAAUUGCACCUCAAACUACAUGGCUAGAGCAUUGGAGAGGGUAGCGGAAUUCACGGUGUAGCAGUGAAAUGCGUAGAUAUCGUGAGGAACACCAGAGGCGAAGGCGGCUACCUGGACAAUUGCUGACGCUCAGGCACGAAAGCGUGGGGAGCAAAAGGGAUUAGAUACCCCUGUAGUCCACGCCCUAAACGGUGCACACUAGGUCUUGGCGGAUUCGACCCCCCCAGGGCCCAAGCUAACGCGUUAAGUGUGCCGCCUGAGGACUACGGCCGCAAGGCUAAAA
rnacentral:rRNA from 1 species